rnacentral:lncRNA from 1 species
CGAUGACAAGCCUAUCUCAAGUCCAUAGAUCCAUUACUUUGCAAUGUUACACCAUGGUCCAAAACAAAAUGACACGCAGGCUGAAGCCAGCUGAGUUAGCUCCAGUAGCUUAGGCUUCGUCAAGGGCAAGAACACCUGGGAGCGUCUUGCCUUCCAACAGCUCCAAACUCGCACCACCGCCUGUCGAAAUGUGGCUCAUCUUGUCAGCCAGCCCAGCCUUCUCAACAGCAGCAACAGAGUCACCGCCACCGAUGAUGGUUGUGACACCCUUUGUGGUUGUAAGCUCAGCCAACUUCUUCGCAAUGGCCUGAAGAAAACAAAUACACAAGACACCAAAACGUUCAAGCAAACAAAAAGGGAGAACCCAUAAAUCUAUUGAUGUAAUGCGAGACUAUAUUACCUCAGUGCCUGCAGCAAACUUCUCAAACUCAAACACUCCCAUCGGACCGUUCCAAAUAAUAGUCUGGGUUUUGUCCAACGCGUCGUUGAAGGUUUUGGUGGCAUCAGGGCCAACAUCAAGACCCAUCCAAUCAUCGGGGAUAGCAGUGGCAGGAACAAUCUGUAAAAGGCGUUCAAGUAAGCAUCAAAGAUAGAUGAAAAUCUCUUUACAAUGCUGCAAAUGAAACUUGCAUGCAAAUUAACAUGCUGCGUCUAUUCACAUUGAGCUGCUACGAGAAUGUUAGAAAAACUCCACUUUAUAAUUGUUAGUGCCAUGGAGGUGUUUAUGUGUAAAUGAACAAACCUUGCUCUCAGCGUCAGGUGCAAACUUGUCAGCUACUACAAUAUCAGUGGGAAGCAGAAGAGAAACACCCUUUGCCUUCGCCUUUUCAAUCAGUGAGGUUGCAAGCUCAAGUUUGUCUUCCUCCACAAGAGACUUUCCAACAGCAUAUCCCUGUGCCUUGUAGAAUGUGUAGAUCAUACCACCACCAAGGAUGAGGAUAUCAACCUUUGCCAGCAGAGACUCAAUGACCCCAAUCUUGGUCGAGACCUUGGAUCCACCAACAAUGGCAGCAAAUGGCUUCUUUGGGUUGGCAACAGCUCCAACAAGAUAAUCAAGUUCCUGGGAUAAUUAAAUUAUUAGUCAAACAAACUUUUGCUCUGAAAAACUUGUUCCAUUCUUAAAAGUACAUAAGGAUUGCUUUCGAAGAAGAAAUAAACAUAUUUAAAAUGCAAGGAUCCAAGUAAUUCAUUGCAUUUUCCUCAGAAGCUAUAUGUAAAUAUCUAUGUUACUAGACCAGGAUUUUGAAACUGCAGGGAGCAUACAUUGUACAUACAUUUUAACACUUCCUACUUUACAUAAGCAGGACCUUAUUAUGGAGAUAAACAAUUUUUUUCUCUUACACACGGGAGAUGGGGGGGGGGGGGGGGGUUCAACAAACAUAGGCAGAUCAUGAGCAGCAGGGCUGAGAUUUUAUUACCUUCUGCAUGAGGAAGCCAGCAACAGCAGGCUUCAAAAACUUAGUAACUCCUUCUGUUGAAGCAUGAGCUCUGUGUGCCGUGCCAAAAGCGUCAUUUACAUAAAGGUCAGCAGCAGAUGCAAGCUUCUUAGCAAACUCAGGGUCAUUCUUUUCUUCCUCCUUGUAGAAUCUAACAUUCUCAAGGAGCAGAACUCCACCUUCCGGCAAAGCAGCAGCCAAUUUCUCAACUUCCUCACCAAUGCAAUCAUUGGCCAUCACAACCUAUUUAUGCAGAAACACGAGCAGCAAUUAGUUAGUUCAGAGACAUCAGAAAACACAAUAAUGACCCAAUGUCAGAUCACAGCAUACGUCGACUCCAAGGAGCUCAGACAAGCGUGGAACAAGAGGCUUCAAGCUGUACUUCGGGGUGACACCUUUUGGACGACCCUGGAAAUAACAGCAGCAAAUUACAUCAGAAAAAGAAAAGGCACAAAUCAUGCUUCUUGCUAAACAUAAAUGCUUGCUGCCAUGUUACUAAUCAUAAGAAACAUCACAAUCACAAAGAUUGUUUAAUGAGGGCAUGGCAGCAUGCUAAUUUCAAUCAAGUUCAAAUAAGCAACUAUGGGAAUUAGUUAAAAGAAAAACAAUUCCUUAACCUAAACUGUAAUUGUUUAAGUUUUUGUGUUCCUAAAAUCAAUGCAUUCUGCUGGAAAUUAUAAUAAUAGUUCAAACUGCAAAGGAUACAAGAUCACUGGUAAAUAUCUUGUUGCGCAUCUAGUAUCAGGUGCCAAAUAUACUAUCAUUCUGUCUGAUAAACGAAAUGUUGUCCCCCCCCCCUCGCAUCUCAAUGAAUGGAAUGAUGUUUGCAGCAGAAGAAAAAAUUGAAAGAAACAAUUAACGAUAACCCUGCUUGUGCGAAUCAGAAACAGCUCAUAGAUUGUGUAAAUGGGUUAGGUUCCAACUAACUAGAACACAAAAGGCACAUUUUGGUUCUAAACCAACAUUCAACAAUCUACAAUAGAAAAAUGAACUUGCAUUAGCUGAAAGCAACAGCAGCUGAAAGCAACAGCGAUGAAUAACACCCCAUGUAUUUGACAAGGAAUAAACAAUCCACUUAAACAAUCUAGAGAGGUCAACACUCCAUAUCCAUGAUGUUAAUUCUUAAAUGCAGAUUUAUUGAGAAAUCGAAAUGGUGGCACUAGAAUCCGUGUUGAACCAUGCUGAUCAUUUUCCUUAAAUAUAAAGGCAUACUGGUAGUAGAACUGCUAGCUAGAUUAUAUCCCGGAUAGUGGCCAAGCACAAGCUCAGAAAACAACACUAAAGAAAUAAUGCCAAUAUACUCAGCACUGUUUGCAUGCUCGUUCAUGGCAUUUAACUGCAACAGUAACAACCGUUUUAACAGUAAAUGAACUACAGCAAGGGCAGUCGAUCAGAGAUUCAGAGUUGCAGGCAUGCAGCGCUGCGGGCCAACAUAAACUACAGAUCUCAAACUAAAACUGGGCCGCCUUCGCCGCAAGAUCAUAGCACACCCAUACCUACGCAGAGCCGCCAAAUUAAUCCCACCUAUACUGCCAUAAACGUAAGCACAGCACUUUUGCGUCACAACCGUGAUUUAAAUCCCAAAUUGACUAGAGCCAGAGUCAAAUCUCGGCACUGUGAUCACGCAGAACCCCAUCCCAUCCACUCAAUCCUCCACGGCCCAGCAUCUUGGCUUAAAUGCAAAUCAAGCUUUGAGUUAACAGUACGUGAUGGAGAUGUGGGCCGCGUCAGCAUACUCACCAGGUGGCUGGCGAGGAUGACCUUGGCGCCCUUCUCGAGGAGGAACUUGACGGUGGGGACGGAUGCGCGGAUGCGGGUGUCGUCGGUGAUCUUCUGGGCGUCGUCGAGCGGCACGUUGAGGUCGGCGCGCACGAACACCUUCUUCCCCCUCAGAUCCGCCUCCCCGAGGGUGCCCACGCUCCUCUUGGUCGCCAUCACUCCCUGCAACGCCGCGAGGAUCAAACCCGAGCUCGGAGCCCGACGGCGACGGAUCCGGGGCGCAGCAACACGACCGGCGGGGAAGACUCACCGUGGAUUGGAAGAACCGGAUCGAGGCGAAGGAUAACGCGACGAUGAGAUCGGUGGUGGUGAUGUGAGCUUUGGAUGUGCCAAUCGGAUGGGGGU